ACGGCGUAGUUGUGGCGACGCCUCUUCCUUUUUACUCAUUUUACCCUAAACUCAUAAACACAUAUUUAGAGAGAGAAAGACAGAAUGAGAGAGAACGACGUGAGAGAGAAACCGAUGAAAGGAAGAGGAAGCCGAUCACCCCAAUCGGAUGAAGGUGACGACUCCGACAACCAGAUUGGCAGCGAUGCACUAGGGUUCCAGUUUGGGGUUUUUGAAACCAGAUAGUGAAGGUGUUGAGGACGUCUGCAAUCUGGUUGUCCAGUUUGGGGCUUUUGAAAAACACAGCCGGAAUUAACAGUUCAUGACUCAGCCGUAGGUCACCGCCAUUGCAGACCGUUCCACCGUUUCGAGUCCGCUGCUGUAUCCCAAGAUCCAACGAUGGUUUGAGCUUGAUUUCAAAGUCUCUGAUGAUCCGAAGAUCGUGCUUCAGAGUAUAUUGGGGAGAAGAGGAGGGGGCUGGAUGUUUUGAAAGAGGGAUUUGAUGAUGAAGAGAAGCUUUCAAGAACUGUGUUUGUUGGGAAUCUGCCUUUGAAGGUGAAGAAGAAGGCAUUGUUGAAAGAGUUUAGUCAGUUUAGAGAGAUAGAAUCCGUUCGAAUUCGAUCUAUUCUUUUAUUAGAUGAUAAAACUCCAAGAAAGGGUGCUGUGAUCAAGAAGAAAAUCAAUGAUGUUGUUGACAGGGUUAAUUCAUACAUUGUUUUCAAGACCAAAGAUUCUGCCCAAGCUUCUUUGUCACAUAACAAUAUAACAUGGCAGUUGUGGGUUGAAAUCAUAUUCAUGUAGACAGAGCUUGUCCGCCUCGCAAGAAACUUAAGGGAGAAAACGCUCCUGGAUUACCUUAUGUUGGAGAAGCAAUAACGCCAGCUGGAAACUGGCUUAUUGGUAGAGAUCCAGAAGUAUAAUAAGGCCCUACAACCAACCCUUCGGGGCUUGCAUCAAAUGUGACAGGGGCAGUAGCACAGGACCAGAGUUAUUAAGCGAGUACCCGCUGCAUCGCGGCGGGUUACUUUUCUAGUAUUAUAAAAAAAGGAUUCAUUGGGUGCGUUCAAAACCCAAACCCUAACUAAACCUAUAUAAGCCCUAGUUUCGGCCCAAAUAUAAUCUAAGAUAACCUAAAGAAGGAAAUCUAGUGAUGAUAUAGUAGAAGGCACUGACCAGCUUUGCUGUAAAGACACAUCUAAAUACCUUUAAUCUCUUAAUCACUUUUUACAAACAAUAUCCAAGACCAAAUCAAUCGGAUU
rnacentral:lncRNA from 1 species